GACGAACCGAGCGAACGUUGUUCGGAAUCACUGGGCUUAAAGGGCGCGUAGGCGGGCGGCCGCGUCCGGGGUGAAAUCCUCCGGCUCAACCGGGGAAGGGCCUCGGGUACGGGCGGCCUCGAGGGGGGUAGGGGCGUGCGGAACUGUGGGUGGAGCGGUGAAAUGCGUUGAGAUCCACAGGAACUCCGGUGGCGAAGGCGGCACGCUGGACCCCCACUGACGCUGAGGCGCGAAAGCCAGGGGAGCGAACGGG
rnacentral:rRNA from 1 species